rnacentral:rRNA from 1 species
GCUUAGGGAGGAGCUUGCGUCACAUUAGUUAGUUGGUGGGGUAAAGGCCUACCAAGACUAUGAUGUGUAGCCGGGCUGAGAGGUUGAACGGCCACAUUGGGACUGAGACACGGCCCAAACUCCUACGGGAGGCAGCAGUAGGGAAUUUUCGGCAAUGGAGGAAACUCUGACCGAGCAACGCCGCGUGAACGAUGAAGUAUUUCGGUACGUAAAGUUCUUUUAUUAGGGAAGAAUAAAUGAUGGAAAAAUCAUUCUGACGGUACCUAAUGAAUAAGCCCCGGCUAACUAUGUGCCAGCAGCCGCGGUAAUACAUAGGGGGCAAGCGUUAUCCGGAAUUAUUGGGCGUAAAGGGUGCGUAGGCGGUUAAAUAAGUUUAUGGUCUAAGUGCAAUGCUCAACAUUGUGAUGCUAUAAAAACUGUUUAGCUAGAGUAAGAUAGAGGCAAGUGGAAUUCCAUGUGUAGUGGUAAAAUGCGUAAAUAUAUGGAGGAACACCAGUAGCGAAGGCGGCUUGCUGGGUCUUUACUGACGCUGAGGCACGAAAGCGUGGGGAGCAAACAGGAUUAGAUACCCUGGUAGUCCACGCCGUAAACGAUGAGUACUAAACGUUGGGUAAAACCAGUGUUGAAGUUAACACAUUAAGUACUCCGCCUGAGUAGUACGUACGCAAGUAUGAAACUUAAAGGAAUUGACGGGACUCCGCACAAGCGGUGGAUCAUGUUGUUUAAUUCGAAGGUACCCGAAAAACCUCACCAGGUCUUGACAUGCUUCUGCAAAGCUGUAGAAACACAGUGGAGGUUAUCAGUUGCACAGGUGGUGCAUGGUUGUCGUCAGCUCGUGUCGUGAGAUGUUGGGUUAAGUCCCGCAACGAGCGCAACCCUUAUUGUUAGUUACCAGCACGUAAUGGUGGGGACUUUAGCAAGACUGCCAGUGAUAAAUUGGAGGAAGGUGGGGACGACGUCAAAUCAUCAUGCCCCUUAUGACCUGGGCUACAAACGUGAUACAAUGGCUGUUACAAAGGGUAGCUGAAGCGCAAGUUUUUGGCGAAUCUCAAAAAAACAGUCUCAGUUCGGAUUGAAGUCUGCAACUCGACUUCAUGAAGUUGGAAUCGCUAGUAAUCGCGAAUCAGCAUGUCGCGGUGAAUACGUUCUCGGGGUUUGUACACACCGCCCGUCAAACCACGAAAGUUGGCAAUACCCAAAGCCGGCGGCCUAACUUCGCAAGAAGAGGGAACCGUCUAAGGUAGGGUCGAUGAUUGGGGUUAAGUCGUAACAAGGUAUCCCUACCGGAAGGUGGGGAUGGAUCACCUCCUUUCU